rnacentral:tRNA from 1 species
AAUUAUAUAGUUUAUAUAAAAUAUUAAUUUUGUAAAUUAAAGAUAUAAAUAAAAUUAUAAUUU